UGCCAGCCGCCGCGGUAAUACGGAGGUGGCAAGCGUUACUCGGAAUUAUUGGGUGUAAAGGGUAAGUAGGUGGUCUAAUAAGUGAGAAGUGAAAUCUUGCGGCUCAACCGCAAAACUGCUUUUCAAACUAUUAGACUUGAGGUAGGUAGAGGGAAAUGGAAUUCUCGGUGUAAGGGUGAAAUCUGUAGAUACCGAGAAGAACACCAGCGGCGAAGGCGAUUUCCUGGACCUUACCUGACACUGAACUCCGAAAGCUAGUGGAGCAAACGGAAUUAGAUA
rnacentral:rRNA from 1 species